CAAUGCUCUUCCAACUGAGCUACGCGGUCAGCGUCCUGACCGCGUAGCUCAGUUGGAAGAGCAUUGGU